rnacentral:rRNA from 1 species
CAGUCGCCACGGUAAUACGAAGGGUGCAAGCGUUAAUCGGAAUUACUGGGCGUAAAGCGUGCGUAGGCGGUGAGUUAAGUCUGCUGUGAAAUCCCCGGGCUCAACCUGGGAAUGGCAGUGGAUACUGGCUCGCUAGAGUGUGUCAGAGGAUGGUGGAAUUCCCGGUGUAGCGGUGAAAUGCGUAGAGAUCGGGAGGAACAUCAGUGGCGAAGGCGGCCAUCUGGGACAACACUGACGCUGAGGCACGAAAGCGUGGGGAGCAAACCGGAUUAGAUACCCCCGUAGUCCCUGUCUCUUAUAC